rnacentral:rRNA from 1 species
AACGAACGCUGGCGGCAGGCUUAACACAUGCAAGUCGAACGCCCCGCAAGGGGAGUGGCAGACGGGUGAGUAACACGUGGGGAUCUGCCCAAUGGUACGGAAUAAUUCCGGGAAACUGGGACUAAUACCGUAUGUGCCCGCAAGGGGAAAGAUUUAUCGCCAUUGGAUGAACCCGCGUCGGAUUAGCUAGUUGGUGAGGUAAAGGCUCACCAAGGCGACGAUCCGUAGCUGGUCUGAGAGGAUGAUCAGCCACACUGGGACUGAGACACGGCCCAGACUCCUACGGGAGGCAGCAGUGGGGAAUAUUGGACAAUGGGCGCAAGCCUGAUCCAGCCAUGCCGCGUGAGUGAUGAAGGCCUUAGGGUUGUAAAGCUCUUUCGCCGACGAAGAUAAUGACGGUAGUCGGAGAAGAAGCCCCGGCUAACUUCGUGCCAGCAGCCGCCGUAAUAC